rnacentral:tRNA from 1 species
GCGGAUAUGGUGGAAUUGGUAGACACGCUGUCUUGAGGGGGCAGUGGUUCACGCCGUGCCGGUUCAAAUCCGGCUAUCCGCACCA